rnacentral:rRNA from 1 species
GUUAACGGGGGAUUAGGGUUCGAUUCCGGAGAGGGAGCCUGAGAAACGGCUACCACAUCUAAGGAAGGCAGCAGGCGCGCAAAUUACCCAAUUCUAACAGUUUGAGAGAGGUAGUAACAAGAAAUAACAAUACAAGGCAGUUAAAAUGCUUUGUAAUUGGAAUGAUAGAAAUUUAAACCCUUUUUAAAGUAUCAAUUGGAGGGCAAGUCUGGUGCCAGCAGCCGCGGUAAUUCCAGCUCCAAUAGCGUAUAUUAAAAUUGUUGCAGUUAAAAAGCUCGUAGUUGAAGUUCUGCUAAAAGUAACCGGUCUGCUUUUAAUAAAGGUGGUAUCUUGGUGUGUAUUUAGCAAUGAUGUCCUUUGAAGUGUUUUUUACUUUAUUGUAAUAAAGCAUAUUCAGGACUUUUACUUUGAGAAAAUUAGAGUGUUUCUAGCAGGCUAACGCUUUGAAUACUGCAGCAUGGAAUAAUAAGAUAGGAUUUUAGUUCUACAUUAUUGGUUUUAAGAGCUAAAUUAAUGAUUGAUAGGGACAGUUGGGGGCAUUUGUAUUUAACUGUCAGA